rnacentral:lncRNA from 1 species
CUCCCUCCAGCCUUCACACUCUUGUAGUUUAAGAAUGAGAUAAUCUUGUAGCUGCUGGGAGUUUCCAUGAAGGGGGACUGGCCCAGGAAUGAGGUCAACCAGAGAAAAGUAGAGCCCUGAGAGAGGGACUAGGUCCUGAAGACUUCAUUUAAGACACAGGAUCCAGCCUUGCUUGAUGUCAUUACUCCUAGACUUUCACGUACAAGAGCCAAAAAAUUGUCUUUUCUUCCCCCUUAACCCAGGGCUCCUGCAACCAAAAGAACACUUGACUGUGGCAUCUUUCCAGCCUCCUGUUAGCAGCUAGGUAAGGUGCCCCCAUGGCAAGGAGCUGCGGGCAGCCUCAAGAAACUGGGUGGCCUCUUAGGACCUGAGGGCAGCCUCCAACAAGCAAGCAGCAAACCUCUGGGGCCUUCUGUUCUACAACUGCAAGGAAAUAAAUUCUGCCAACAGCCUGAAUGAGCACGGAAGUGAACUCUUUCUCAGUCGAGCCUCUGAAUGAGAACACAGUUCAACUCAUGCCUUGACUGCAGCUUGUGAGAGUCUGAGAAGAGGACCAGGAAUUGACGGCGCACAGGGAACAGUUUCUACUGCUGUCCUUCCCGUUACCUCCUCCAAUGGGGCUUCAGUCACCACCUCUCUGGAAGGUGAUGAUGGUCGGCAGCUCCAUAUCGCCAGCCGUGACUCUGCCCUGAAAUCUAGCCCAAGGGAGCCAACUGCCUGUUUUGUCAGGACUCAUGAUCCUGAAGACAAUGAAGAAGAAAUAUGACAGUCGGUCCCGAGUGUGGAAUGAACACUCUGCUCUCCCAGCUGGGGAACUCCGUGAGGACCCACAUAAGCAAUGCAGAAGCAUUGGGAAACACAUGCAAUAACUGGGGCCAUCUGUUUUCUCCUGAAAACUAGUGGUGGGCUGGAUUCUCUGAAGAGUUUCUCAAGGCAUGUUGGACCAGAACAACCUGCUCAGAGAAGAGGCAAGGUCCCUGCCUGGGCCUCUGAGGUGUUGGAGGUGGGGCCAGCCCACCCCCAGGCCGUGAGGCCUGGCUGCUGGAAGGAGGCAGGACCCAGAAGGUUGCUGCCAUCCUGGGGUGUCUGAGUCCCCAUGUGGCCCAGCUGUGUUCCUGCUGGCCCGGCAUCCACACCCUUGUCUCUGGAUGUGCGGUGGGAGAAUUGUCUUUCUCCACGAACAGGCCAGGUGGUUCCUGGGAUUGACCUCUCUCUCCCAGGUGUGGACAAGCAGAGCAUCCUACGUCCCCAGCUACAGCGACUGGCUGAUAUGGUUUGGCUGUGUCCCCACCCAAAGCUCAUCUUGAAUUCCCACGUGUUGUGGGAGGGACCCAGUGGGAGGUAAUUGAAUCAUGGGGGCAGGUCUUUCCUGUGCUGUUCUCAUGAUAGUGAGUAAAUCUCACAAGAUCUAAUGGUUUUAUAAGGAGGCUGCACAAGCUCUUUCUCUGCCUGCUGCCAACCAUGUAAGAUGUGACUUGCUCCUCCUUUGCCUUCCACCAUGAUUAUGAGGCUUCUCCUGCCACAUGGAACUGUGAGUCCAUUAAAAUCUUUUUCCUGGAUAAAUUACCUAGUCUCGGGUAUGUCUUUAUCAGCAGCGUGAAAACGGACUAAUACGCUGGGCUAGGCUUGGUCAUGUGACCCAGGCCAAUCAAUGAAAUACAGGCUUGGGACUUUUGCAGGGAUAAUUUAGACAGGAAGGCUCUUUUCCCAUUAGGGUGCUAGGCUGGGCUAAUAUGUCAAACCAGCUGGUGGUCUCCCUCUUUAACCACAUGGAGAAAUCCCUUGCAAGUAGAAAAAAAAAAGCAAAGCUAUUAGACAGAGGAGGGUAGAGCUGAAGAUGGGGUGAUAGACAGCCCUGAUGACAUUGUUUGAAUCCCUGGAUCCAGGUGGUCCUGAAGCCUGCCUACCACCCCUGGUCUUUUAGGUAUUUGAACCCAUCACUUCCUUGUUUUGCUUAAACAAACUGUGGUUAGGUUCAGAAUCCUGGUUUAAACACCCGUCCCUGAGUUCUUUCAUAGGUUGCACUUGCUGUCCCAGGGCCUUUACUGUCUAGGUUGGAUGAUAGGUACACAGCCUUUCUCCUGUACUGGGGUGGAAGCCCUGGUGCCUGCUAUAUCUGGGCUUUGAUGCCUGGGUCAGGAUCUUGAAACUUCUCUGCAGGCAUUUCCUUUCAUGGGAAGCCCAGCAACUUGGCUGUUAGACUUGAGGUCAAAUCCUGGUCCUGCCACUGGGCAGGUGACCCUGUCUGCACCCCACUAUCCUCAUCUUUACAUUCUCCUGGGGAUAAUAUCCCCACCUCCCAGGAUGUCGGGGGAAUGAAUGAGAGAUGCUGUGAAGCACCAGGCAAGGUGCUGGUGGAUGUGGGAGCUGUUUCAAUUAUUGUUAUUUGUGCCUCACACACCCAGAGUGAAAGGGAAGCUGUGGGCUGGUCUCACAGGCCAGCCCCUGCAGCCUCUGAGUUUUUUAAUGAA